AGAGUUUGAUCCUGGCUCAGAUUGAACGCUGGCGGAAUGCUUUACACAUGCAAGUCGAACGAUGAACCUUAGCUUGCUAAGGGGAUUAGUGGCGAACGGGUGAGUAAUAUAUCGGAACGUGCCUUGUAAUGGGGGAUAACUAGUCGAAAGAUUAGCUAAUACCGCAUACGCCCUGAGGGGGAAAGUAGGGGAUCUUCGGACCUUACGUUAUAAGAGCGGCCGAUAUCUGAUUAGCUAGUUGGUGGGGUAAUGGCCUACCAAGGCUUCGAUCAGUAGCUGGUCUGAGAGGACGACCAGCCACACUGGAACUGAGACACGGUCCAGACUCCUACGGGAGGCAGCAGUGGGGAAUUUUGGACAAUGGGCGCAAGCCUGAUCCAGCCAUUCCGCGUGAGUGAAGAAGGCCUUCGGGUUGUAAAGCUCUUUCGCAAGGGAAGAAAACUUACCUUCUAAUAAAGGGUGAGGCUGACGGUACCUUGAUAAGAAGCACCGGCUAACUACGUGCCAGCAGCCGCGGUAAUACGUAGGGUGCGAGCGUUAAUCGGAAUUACUGGGCGUAAAGCGUGCGCAGGCGGUUUGGCAAGUCAGAUGUGAAAUCCCCGGGCUCAACUUGGGAACUGCGUUUGAAACUGCCAGACUAGAAUAUGUCAGAGGGGGGUAGAAUUCCACGUGUAGCAGUGAAAUGCGUAGAGAUGCGGAAGAACACCGAUGGCGAAGGCAGCCUCCUGGGAUAACACUGACGCUCAGGCACGAAAGCGUGGGGAGCAAACAGGAUUAGAUACCCUGGUAGUCCACGCCCUAAACGAUGUCAACUAGUUGUUGGGGAUUCAUUUCCUUAGUAACGUAGCUAACGCGUGAAGUUGACCGCCUGGGGAGUACGGCCGCAAGAUUAAAACUCAAAGGAAUUGACGG
rnacentral:rRNA from 1 species